rnacentral:tRNA from 1 species
GGAGCUGUGGUGCAGUAGGUUAACGUCCUGGCCUGAAAUGCCAGCAUCCCAUAUGGGCGCCUGGUUCAAGGCCUGGCUGCUUCA